rnacentral:rRNA from 1 species
GAUGAACGCUGGCGGCGUGCCUAAUACAUGCAAGUCGAGCGAACAGAUGAGGAGCUUGCUCCUCUGACGUUAGCGGCGGACGGGUGAGUAACACGUGGAUAACCUACUUAUAAGACUGGGAUAACUUCGGGAAACCGGAGCUAAUACCGGAUAAUAUAUUGAACCGCAGGGUUCAAUAGUGAAAGACGGUUUUGCUGUCACUUAUAGAUGGAUCCGCGCCGCAUUAGCUAGUUGGUAAGGUAACGGCUUACCAAGGCAACGAUGCGUAGCUGACCUGAGAGGGUGAUCAGCCACACUGGAACUGAGACACGGUCCAGACUCCUACGGGAGGCAGCAGUAGGGAAUCUUCCGCAAUGGGCGAAAGCCUGACGGAGCAACGCCGCGUGAGUGAUGAAGGUCUUCGGAUCGUAAAACUCUGUUAUUAGGGAAGAACAAAUGUGUAAGUAACUAUGCCCGUCUUGACGGUACCUAAUCAGAAAGCAACGGCUAACUACGUG